rnacentral:sRNA from 2 species
AAGGUUUACAAUGAAUUCCCGAUAGGACGGCCACAACCGGUCGGAAGCCUUGUAACCGAAUAUUUAAGGGGGAAUAGAAGAAUAUG